rnacentral:rRNA from 1 species
UACGUAGGGACCGAGCGUUGUCCGGAUUCAUUGGGCGUAAAGAGCUCGUAGGCGGUCUGUCGCGUCGGAUGUGAAAACUCGGGGCUCAACCCCGAGCCUGCAUUCGAUACGGGCAGACUAGAGUUCGGUAGGGGAGACUGGAAUUCCUGGUGUAGCGGUGAAAUGCGCAGAUAUCAGGAGGAACACCGGUGGCGAAGGCGGGUCUCUGGGCCGAUACUGACGCUGAGGAGCGAAAGCGUGGGGAGCGAACAGG